UUGGAGGGCAAGUCUGGUGCCAGCAGCCGCGGUAAUUCCAGCUCCAAUAGCGUAUAUUAAAGUUGUUGCAGUUAAAAAGCUCGUAGUUGGAUUUCGGGAUCAAUGUUUCGGUCAUGCCGUUGGUAUGUACUGAUAUUAUUGGUUUCUCACCUUCUAAAGAACCGUAAUGCCAUUAAUUUGGUGUCACGGGGAAUUAGGACUGUUACCUUGAAAAAAUUAGAGUGUUUAAAGCAGGCUCACGCUUGAAUACAUUAGCAUGGAAUAAUGAAAUAGGACAUCCGAUUCUAUUUUGUUGGUUUCUAGGAUCGAUGUAAUGAUUAAUAGGGAUAGUUGGGGGCAUUAGUAUUCAAUUGUCAGAGGUGAAAUUCUUGGAUUUAUUGAAGACUAACUACUGCGAAAGCAUUUGCCAAGGAUGUUUUCAUUAAUCAAGAACGAAAGUUAGGGGAUCGAAGACGAUCAGAUACCGUCGUAGUCUUAACCAUAAACUAUGCCGACUAGGGAUCGGAUGAUGUUAAUUUUUUAAUGACUCAUUCGGCGCCUUACGGGAAAC
rnacentral:rRNA from 1 species